CGACGGCAGCACAGCAGAGCUUGCUCUGUGGGUGGCGAGUGGCGGACGGGUGAGUAAUGCAUCGGGACCUACCUAGACGUGGGGGAUAACGUAGGGAAACUUACGCUAAUACCGCAUACGUCCUACGGGAGAAAGCAGGGGACCUUCGGGCCUUGCGCGGUUAGACGGACCGAUGUUCGAUUAGCUUGUUGGUAAGGUAAUGGCUUACCAAGGCGACGAUCGAUAGCUGGUCUGAGAGGAUGAUCAGCCACACUGGAACUGAGACACGGUCCAGACUCCUACGGGAGGCAGCAGUGGGGAAUAUUGGACAAUGGGCGCAAGCCUGAUCCAGCAAUGCCGCGUGUGUGAAGAAGGCCUUCGGGUUGUAAAGCACUUUUAUCAGGAGCGAAAUACUACCGGCUAAUACCCGGUGGGGCUGACGGUACCUGAGGAAUAAGCACCGGCUAACUUCGUGCCAGCAGCCGCGGUAAUACGAAGGGUGCAAGCGUUAAUCGGAAUUACUGGGCGUAAAGCGUGCGUAGGCGGUUUGUUAAGUCUGCUGUGAAAUCCCCGGGCUCAACCUGGGAAUGGCAGUGGAUACUGGCAAGCUAGAGUGUGUCAGAGGAUGGUGGAAUUCCCGGUGUAGCGGUGAAAUGCGUAGAGAUCGGGAGGAACAUCAGUGGCGAAGGCGGCCAUCUGGGACAACACUGACGCUGAGGCAC
rnacentral:rRNA from 1 species